rnacentral:rRNA from 1 species
CUACGGGUUGCAGCAGUGAGGAAUAUUGCACAAUGGGGGGAACCCUGAUGCAGCAACGCCGCGUGGAGGAUGACGCAUUUCGGUGUGUAAACUCCUUUUAUAUGUCAAGAAAAUGACGGUAGCAUAUGAAUAAGCACUGGCUAACUCCGUGCCAGCAGCCGCGGUAAUACGGAGGGUGCAAGCGUUGCUCGGAAUCACUGGGCGUAAAGGACGCGUAGGCGGGUUGGAAAGUCAGGUGUGAAUUCCUACAGCUUAACUGUAGAACUGCACUUGAAACUUCUAAUCUAGAGUAUGGGAGGGGGAGAUGGAAUUAGUGGUGUAGGGGUAAAAUCCGUAGAUAUCACUAGGAAUACCUAAAGCGAAGGCGAUCUCCUGGAACAUUACUGACGCUAAGGCGUGAAAGCGUGGGGAGCAAACAGGAUUAGAUACCCCGGUAGUC